UACGUAGGGUGCGAGCGUUGUCCGGAAUUAUUGGGCGUAAAGAGCUUGUAGGCGGUUUGUCGCGUCUGCUGUGAAAAUCCGGGGCUCAACCCCGGACUUGCAGUGGGUACGGGCAGACUAGAGUGUGGUAGGGGAGACUGGAAUUCCUGGUGUAGCGGUGGAAUGCGCAGAUAUCAGGAGGAACACCGAUGGCGAAGGCAGGUCUCUGGGCCACUACUGACGCUGAGAAGCGAAAAGCAUGGGGAGCGAACAGG
rnacentral:rRNA from 1 species